rnacentral:rRNA from 1 species
GAUGAACGCUAGCUACAGGCUUAACACAUGGAAGUCGAGGGACCGGAGCACGGGUGAGUAACACGUAUCCAACCUGCCCUAUACUCGGGGAUAGCCUUUUGAAAGGAAGAUUAAUACCCGAUGUAAAGGAUGGGGAUGCGUUCCAUUAGGUUGUUGGUGAGGUAACGGCUCACCAAGCCUUCUAUGGAUAGGGGUUCUGAGAGGAAGGUCCCCCACAUUUGAUCUGCGACACGGUCCAAACUCCUACGGGAGGCAGCAGUGAGGAAUAUUGGUCAAUGGUCGUUAGCCUGAACCAGCCAAGUAGCGUGAAGUAUGAAGGCUUAUGGGUCGUAAACUUCUUUUAUAUAAAAAUAUGUAUUAUAUGAAUAAGGAUCGGCUAACUCCGUGCCAGCAGCCGCGGUAAUAC